GUACUGCUGAAGAGUCCCAAACUAGGACGAAACAGCCGUCCAGCAG
rnacentral:hammerhead_ribozyme from 1 species